UAUUAUUAUUAACAUUGAGGCUGGGUAGCCAUCUGUCAGGGGUGCUUUGCUAGUGCUUUUGAUGCACAAAGGCAGAAGGGGAUUGGACUCAAUGGCCCAAAGGGUCUCUUCCAACCCUCUUUAUUAUUGUUAUUAUUAUUAUUAUUAUUAUUAUUAUUAACAUUGAGGCUGGGUGGCCAUCUGUCAGGGGUGCUUUGCUUGUGCUUUUGGUGCACAAAGGCAAAAGGGGGUUGGACUCAAUGGCCCAAGGGGUCUCUUUCAACCCUCUUUAUUAUUAUUAUUAUUAAUAAUAAUAAUAAUAAUAAUAAUAAUAAUAAUAAUAAUUGAGGCUGGGUGGCCAUCUGUCAGGGGUGCUUUGCUUGUGCUUUCGGUGCACAAAGGCAGAAGGGGAUUGGACUCAAUGGCCCAAAGGGUCUCUUCCAACCCUCUUGUUGUUGUUGUUGUUGUUGUUAUUAUUUUAUUGUAUGACACAGCAAACAAGAUAGAUAUGCUGGAAUAAUAAUAAUAAUUAUUAUUAUUAUUAUUAUUAUUGCUCGGUGGCCAACUAUAGUCCGGCCCUCCAACAGUCCGAAGGAUCGUGAACCGGCCCCCUGUUUAAAAAGUUUUGGGACCCUUGGUCUAGAAGCUCAGCCCUGUCUCGUGCUCUUGGGAAGAGGCUCCACCCUUAGCCCCACCCUUUAGUCCUAAAAGGCCUCUCAAGAGAGGUAUAGAGGCUCAGCCCUGUCUCGUGCUCUUGGGAAGAGGCCCCGCCCCCAUCCCUAGCCCUGCCCUGUAGUCCUCAAAGGCCCCUCGGGAGAGGUAUAGAGGCUCAGCCCUGUCUCGGGCUCCUGGAAGGAGGCCCUGCCUCGUUCCCUAGCUCUGCCCAAUGUGUCCCAACAAGCAGCUCAGGACAGGUGUAGAUGCUCAGCCCUGUCUCAGGCUCUUGGGAAGAAGCCAUGCCCACUCCUCUAGCUCCGCCCCCUGUGUCCUAACAGGCGCCUCAGGUGCUCAGCCCUCUCAAAUAGGUCUGCGACUAUUAUAUGAGGAAACAAAAAAUACUAAUUUUGCCAUCCCCGAAAUGAGACUGCGACUAUUAUGUGAUGAAAUGUGAUAUGCAUAGUGUGUGCACGUAAUCGGGUUUUUCCUCUUCCCAUUAGCAGCAUUCAGAUGUUUGUCUUUUGUCCCCAAACGCUUCUUGUUUUUCUUCCUGACCCAAAGGUCUUAAUCAGUGUUAGAAUAAAGUAAACCAGGAAGUGAUCCUUAGUCGAAUGGAACCUCUGGAGUUGGAAUGGAGGCGGGAGCAGGACUUUUUGAACAUGGAUGGAUGCUGUCGGGAGCAAAAUGUCCUUGCGGGAACCCUGGGCCCGACCUCCCUGAUGCAUCUGUGCACUGCUGCUAUGAAAGGAGGCUCCCUGGGUAACAGGGCAGUGGAUCCCGCGGUGGGUUUUAGUCUGAACUUUAAGGGACUUUAAUAUAUUUUGGACACAGGGUUCCUUUAGGGACGAGAUCAAACCUGAACUGCAUUCACUACCUCCCUGAAAUUGCUGAAACUCAUCGGACAUUGCGUCGUGUUUUGCCUGGUUAUCGAGGCGGACAGUUUAUACAAAUCAUCGGCCAGUCGGAAUCAAGAAAAAGUCAACUAUUGAAUCCUUUAAAGUUCUGCUGGGAAACAUAUAUAUACAUCUCAAAACAGAGUGGGAAGAGAUAAAGCCAAAAGAUAAACGCCAAGAAUACUUUAUGUCAGAAACAAAAAGCCGAGGAUUUGCAGACAAAAUGACGGAGUUUCUUUCGUCGAGAUCACGGUCCGAAAAUCCAACGCCACGAACUGGAAUUGUCGGUCCCGAAGUCAGGGUCGCAGAGUCCCAAAGUCGGGAAUUAACAGGAGCGGCAGAGACGAGAUCCAGAACAAUGGUGCAACAACGGAGCCAAGGUGAGGGUCCGCAAGUCAGAAAUUCUUGAUGCCAAGACCUAGGAUCCGAAGCCAGAAUUCAAUGGUUGUCUGCUACCCAGAGCCAUUCUCCAAGGUCUCCGAAGCCUGAUGGAAGAGGAUUCCCUGUGAAGAUCAACCCUUUCCACGCUUGCUGCCAACACUGAGGGAGGAUUUAUCUGGCAUGUCAAGCUGACACUGCGCCAGAGCCAUUUUUAGUCUGGACCAGUGGUUCCCAAACUUAUUUGGCCUGCCGCCCCCUUUCCAGAAAAAAUAUGACUCAGCGUCCCCUGGAAAGGGGGGCGUGGCUUAGAGGGGUGGGCGUGGCUCCUGCUCAAGAGGGCGGGGGAGAGCCUCUCCCCUAGUCCAAGAUGCAUAGCUGGGAGGGGGGGGUGGGCGGGGCCACAAAUGGGUGGCUAGGACUGGGAUGGGCGGAGUUACGAGCUUUGAGACAGGGCUGAGCUUCUAUCCCUGUCCUGCGGUGCCUGCCAGGACAUGGGGGGCAGGGCUAGAGGAGGGGGCGGGGCCUCUAUAGCCCGCCCCUGUGUUCUAACAAGUUCCUCAGGGGAGGUAUACAGCCCCUUCUAAUGCCCUUGGGAAGAGGCCCCGCCCUUUAGUCCUAAAAGGCCUCUCAGGAGGGAUAUAGAGGCUCAGCCCUGUCUCAGGCUCUUGGAAGGAGGCCCCGCCCCCUUUCCUAGCUCCGCCCUUUAGUCCUAAAAGGCCUCUCAGGAGAGGUAUAGAAGCUCAGCCCUGUCUCAGGCUCUUGGAAGGAGGCCCCGCCCCUUCUCUAGCUCCGCCCUUUAGCCCUAAAAGGCCUCUCAGGAGAGGUAUAGAGGCUCAGCCCUGUCUCAGGCUCUUGGAAGGAGGCCCCGCCCCCUUCCCUAGCUCCGCCCUUUAGUCCUAAAAGGCCUCUCAGGAGAGGUAUAGAAGCUCAGCCCUGUCUCAGGCUCUUGGUAGGAGGCCCCGCCCCCUUCCAUAGCUCCGCCCUUUAGUCCUAAAAGGCCUCUCAGGAGAGGUAUAGAGGCUCAGCCCUGUCUCAGGCUCUUGGAAGGAGGCCCCGCCCCUUCUCUAGCUCCGCCCUUUAGUCCUAAAAGGCCUCUCAGGAGAGGUAUAGAGGCUCAGCCCUGUCUCGGGCUCUUGGAAGGAGGCCCCACCCCCUUCCCUAGCUCUGCCCUCUGUCCCAACAAGCGCUUCAGGAGAGGUAUAGAAGCUCAGCCCUGUCUCAGGCUCUUGGAAGGAGGCCCCGCCCCCUUCCCUAGCUCCGCCCUUUAGUCCUAAAAGGCCUCUCAGGAGAGGUAUAGAGGCUCAGCCCUGUCUCAGGCUCUUGGAAGGAGGCCCCACCCCCUUCUCUAGCUCCACCCUUUAGUCCCAAAAGGCCUCUCAGGAGAGGUAUAGAGGCUCAGCCCUGUCUCAGGCUCUUGGAAGGAGGCCCCGCCCCUUCCCUAGCUCCGCCCUUUAGUCCUAAAAGGCCUCUCAGGAGAGGUAUAGAGGCUCAGCCCUGUCUCGGGCUCUUGGAAGGAGGCCCCACCCCCUUCCCUAGCUCCGCCCUCUGUCCAACAAGCGCUUCAGGAGAGUUAUAGAUGCUCAGCCCUGUCUCAGGCUCUUGGGAAGAAGCCACGCCCACUCUAGCUCCGCCCCCUGUGUCCUAACAGGCGCCUCAGGUGCUCAGCCCUGUCUCUGGCACUUGGGAAGAGGCCCCGCCCCUCCCUGGCCCCGCCUCCGUGUCCUAAUAGGUGCCAUCACCGCCCCCCUGGAUCACUGCAACGCCCACCAGGGGGCGGUAGUGCCCACUUUGGGAACCACUGGUCUGGACGGAAUAAUAACUGUUUGGUCUCAGCAUCUAUGAGGGUCCUUUGACACAGCUGCAGUUGUGUCCAGACUAAAUGUGGCUCUAUUAUGCCUUACAUAUAUAUCUGUGGCUCAUAAUUGAACCUAAAGUCAUAAUAUCCACUGUUACAAGGAAGAGUUUCUUCCUUUCCCAUAGAGAACAUAAGGGCCACUGCUCUUCAUUGCAUGCCGAUACAACUUUCCUGUUGUUCGAUCUGCCAGGCCUCCCAAUUGUCAGUGCAAAUGCCACGUGUCCGUCUGUCCGUCACCAAAGGACUGACGGUUAGGACGGUUUCCAAGCAACGAAAUGCAUGCCGGUUUCACGGAAGCAAAAGCCAAGGUAACCCAUCCGCACAAGUCGUGAAACGGACAAAGGUCCGGCAGCAGUUCGGCACUUAAACCUUGUACAGAAACUUAUUAAUCCACUAAAGAACCCAACCCACUUAAAUGGACUUCUGUACAGAACGAUACUAGGUGUUAAUAAAAUCCGAUAGCCUUUUACUCAAGUGGUAUGUAUUCCAAUUUUGUAGUCUUAGUCACUUUGGGGGCUAUCCAAUUUUGUUAGAUAAAACGAUCCGUUUGACAGCUAAUAAUGUCUAUUUUGUUAUCGGCUUAUUUCUUUUUGUUUUCUCUGUACAAAAAAAAUCUUUACAGGCGGGAGUCUCUUCUGUGUAAUUCCUUGGACAGAGUAUGUCUUCAUGUAUCGCAGGCCCCGAGACUGGCUUGCUCAAGUGUGAUGAGCUCAUAUUAAACCAAUAAAACCUGUGGCAGAAGAAA